UGGGGAAUUUUGGACAAUGGGCGAAAGCCUGAUCCAGCAAUGCCGCGUGUGUGAAGAAGGCCUUCGGGUUGUAAAGCACUUUUGUCCGGAAAGAAAUCCUUGGCUCUAAUACAGUCGGGGGAUGACGGUACCGGAAGAAUAAGCACCGGCUAACUACGUGCCAGCAGCCGCGGUAAUACGUAGGGUGCAAGCGUUAAUCGGAAUUACUGGGCGUAAAGCGUGCGCAGGCGGUUUGCUAAGACCGAUGUGAAAUCCCCGGGCUCAACCUGGGAACUGCAUUGGUGACUGGCAGGCUAGAGUAUGGCAGAGGGGGGUCAGAAUUCCACGUGUAGCAGCGAAAUGCGUAGAGAUGUGGAGGAAUACCGAUGGCGAAGGCAGCCCCCUGGGCCAAUACUGACGCUCAUGCACGAAAGCGUGGGGAGCAAACAGGAUUAGUACCCUGGUAGUCCACGCCCUAAACGAUGUCAACUAGUUGUUGGGGAUUCAUUUCCUUAGUAACGUAGCUAACGCGUGAAGUUGACCGCCUGGGGAGUACGGUCGC
rnacentral:rRNA from 1 species